CCUUUGACCCAGUUAAUCACUGUCAGGUCAUCAAAUUAGCAAAAUGGCUUGGGAAAGGACAAAAAUACCCCUCCUUCUUCCUCAUCCUCUUCCUCUUCAUCAUCAACUAAUAAUCCACCCAUAACCUCCAUUUCUUCAACAAAUCCAAACAAAACCUUCAACCCACACCGCAAAUUCCACUUUCCUUUGUAAAAUUCUCAUUUUAAACACCCAAAUCAAUUCACUGUCAAUCCUUCCAAUAUCAACGUGUUCAAACUCAUCAAAAUCC
rnacentral:lncRNA from 1 species